rnacentral:rRNA from 1 species
UACAGAGGGGGCAAGCGUUGUUCGGAAUUACUGGGCGUAAAGGGCGCGUAGGCGGCCUUCUAAGUCAGACGUGAAAUCCCUCGGCUCAACCGGGGAACUGCGUCUGAGACUGGAAGGCUUGAAUUCGGGAGAGGGAUGUGGAAUUCCAGGUGUAGCGGUGAAAUGCGUAGAUAUCUGGAGGAACACCGGUGGCGAAGGCGGCAUCCUGGACCGAGAUUGACGCUGAUGCGCGAAAGCUAGGGUAGCAAACGGG